rnacentral:lncRNA from 1 species
UUUAUUGUGUGGAUGCUUUAGGCAUCCACACUAUUGAGUUCCUGUUUCUCUUUAUUCUUUAUUGUGUGGAUGUGGCAUCCACACUAUUGAGUUCCUCUUUCUCUUUAUUCUUUAUUGUGUGGAUGCCCUUAAAGGGCUUCCACACUAUUGUUUUCCUGUUUCUCUUUAUUCUUUAUUGUGUGGAUGCCCUAAAGGGCUUCCACACUAUUGUUUUCCUGUUUCUCUUUAUUCUUUAUUAUUAUUCUUCUAGUUGCUUCCGUACACUUUUUGGCACUUAUCUACUCCCUCAGUUUUUGUGCUAUUUUCACCGUUCAAAUCUUAAAAAAAUUCUGCUCUUUCUGCUCUUUCCGGCAAUGACUUUUGGUGCUCAUAACUUCUAUACUUUUUGAGAUAUUGAAUUUUUUUUGCAAUAUUUUUUGCCCAUUUCUGCCAUAUUAUCAGUGGCCUCACUGAUUUUCCUUGCCGGGUUGACCUGUGUUUUAGCUCAGUGAGAUGAGCGUCCGUUCUCAGACUGGGAGGCCGGGGUUCAAAUCCCGCUUAUGGCAACAUUUCUUUCAGUUAACAGUUAAACUUUUUUUACUCUUUUCAACACAAAUUUCAGCUAUACAACCCGUUUUCAGCAGAAUCUUCAGUUUUUUCACCACUUUUCAGCACAAAUUUCAGCUUUAUAACCCGUUUUCAGCAGAAUCUUCAGUUUUUUCACCACUUUUCAGCACAAAUCCCAGCUUUUUCAGCUAUUUUCAGCAAAAACAUCUUUUCAGCAGAAUUCUGAAAAGUUCUGCAGAACUCUUUUCAGCAGAAAUUCUGCUGAUUGAACUCUUUUCAGCAGAAUUUUCACCUCUUUUCAGCCGAAAUUCUGCUUAUUCACCUCUUCUGCAAAAUUUUCACCCUUUUCACCUCUUAUUAGCACAGAUCUCAGCUGUUUUCAGAAAAAACUCUUUUGAGCAGAAAUUCUGCUGAUUCAUCUCUUUUCAUUGCAAUUUUCUGCUUUUUCACCUCUUUUCAGCAGAAAUUCUGCUGAUUCACCUCUUUUCUGCAAAAUUUUCAACCAUUUCACCUCUUAUCAGCGCAAUUCUCAGCAGUUUCUGCUCAUUUCACCAUAAUUGUCAGUCUCUCCAUCUCUUAUCUUGUGAGAGUGAAUUUGGCACAGUGAGAUGAGUAGCUGCUUUGCACCUGGUAGGGCCAGGUUCGAAUCCUGCUCAGGGUGACAUUCUUUUUUCACCACCAUACAACUUUUUGCAACUUCUCAGCUUUUUCAGCUUUUCAGCAGACAGCUUCAGCGUUAAGGCAUCCACACAGCAUUUUCGCAGGAAAUGCAAAUUUUUCUAGUUCCACUAUAUUAUUCUAGUUGCUUCCGUACACUUUUUGGCACUUAACUACUCCCUCAGUUCUUAUCCGAUUUUCACCAUUCAAACUUCAAAAAAUUCUGCUCUUUCUGCUAAUGCCGGCUAUGACUUUUGGUGCUCAUAACCUCUAUACUUUUUGAGAUAUUGAAUUUUUUUUGCAAUAUUUUUUGCCCAUUUCUGCCAUAUUAUCAGUGGCCUCACAGAUUUUCCUUGCCGGGUUGACCUGUGUUUUAGCUCAGUGAGAUGAGCAUCCGUUCUCAGACUGGGAGGCCCGGGUUCAAAUCCCGCUUAUGGCAACAUUUCUUUCAGUUAACAGUUAAACUUUUUUAACUCUUUUCAACACAAAUUUAAGCUUUUUCACCCCUUUUCAGCACAAUUUUCAGUUUUUUCACCACUUUUCAGCACAAAUCCCAGCUUUUUCAGCUGUUUUCAGCAAAAACCUCUUUUCAGCAGAAUUCUGAAAAGAGUUCUGCAGAACUCUUUUCAGCAGAAAUUCUGCUGAUUGAACUCUUUUCAGCAGAAUUUUCACCCCUUUUCAGCCCAAAUUCUGCUUAUUCACCUCUUCUGCAACAUUUUCAGCCUUUUCCCCUAUUAUCAGCACAAAUCUCAGCUGUUUUCAGAAAAAACUCUUUUG